AAGUUAUUUUUAACUUUUUAGUUCGAUGUACUUUAAAAGCGUGUUUUUUUAGUUUUUUUAAACUAUAAUUAUUUUUCACUUUUUAGUUUUAUGUUAUGAUAGUAGUUGCUAUCAAUAUCAUGGUUGUUACGGGUAACGGGAAAUCAGGGUUCGAUUCCGGGGAGAGUUUCUGAGAAACGGCUACCACAUCCAAGGAAAGCAGCAGGCGCGUAAAUUACCCAUUCCCGGAACAUGGAGGUAGUGACGAAAAAUGACGAUACGGGAAUCAUCCUUUGUAAUCGGAAUGAAUACACUUUAUAUCCCUUAAUGAGAAUAAAAGCAAAGUUUGGAUAUAUUUUAAAAAAAUUGACACUGUUCUUGCAUUAUGCAAGCAUUGUUCACAAGAUGUACGCUAUUGUGGCAAUACUUCAAAUUUAUCCAAACAUUUAAAAAAACAUCCAAAUUUGACUAAUACUAAAUCAUCCAUAGUCAAACAGUCAAAAUUGACUAUCACUCAAAAUUCUGUAUCGUCAUUGCCUACAUUGCCAAAACCUUGCUCAUCAAAUACUUAGUCGCGACAACUAACGCUUUGUAUGGAAGACUCUGAGCCAGAGGCAUCUAAUUUUCUGUGGUACGGCAAUAACUGGGUAUACAUAUUAAAAAUAUAAAAUAAUUGUUAUCAUCGGACUGGUUUAUUGAUACUUUGGAAUGUGUAGACGAUCCACCACAGGCUCUACAACGGCUAAAACACCCUAUUGUUGAAGCUUUUCAAAAAAUUAGCUCAUAUGCAGAAGGUGGUCAUAAUUUUCGUAAAAUAACUAUGUCAUUACUUUACUUUAUUUGUAAAGAUUACCGUCCAUUUUCUGUAGUAGAAGGAAAAGGAUUUAGACGGUUCAUUAAAAAAUUGGCACCAUCAUACAAAAUUCCCUCUGUUAAAACUGUAAAAAAUGCCCUUGAUAAUAAGUAUGAGGUUAUUAUAGCUGCAUUAAAAUUGCGUUUGUCAAAUUCACCUCAUGUAUCUCUGACAUUCGAUACAUGGACAAAGACAAUGUCAGAAAAAAGUUUCUUGGUAUAACCGUACAUUUCUUAGAAGAUAUUUCUCUGAAAUCAUUUUGUUUGGCAGUUACUGAGUUAAAAGAGCGGCAUACUGGUCAAUAUAUUAGUGAACAGUUAGAAAAUAUUUUAUCAGAUUGGGAAAUAAAUCAAGAAAAAAUUGUAAUUAUUGUGACUGACAAUGGUGCAAAUGUUGUUUCUGCUGUUCACAAAACUUUUGGUAAACAGCGACACAUUCCUUGUUUUGCUCAUACCAUCAAUUUAGUUGCAAUACAUAUAGUAGGGCAAAAAAAAAUCAAACCUAUUAUUUCUAAAGUUCGAAAUAUCGUAAAGUGGGUGAAAAAUAGCGUGAGAGUUAGUGAUCUUUUAAGAAAGAAGCAGUCGGAAAACGGAGUUCCAGAAGGGUCAAUGAAAA